AAAGAUUUUAGUCGGAAAGAGUCACCUGCCCCUGGUCAGCUAGAGUCUGCUAUCCGUAAUCAGGUAGAGAAAUAAAACGCAUAAACAUUCAAGCGGAUACAUUAAACGAUUAUUGGCGGUUGAACCUGUAUCUCCCGUUUAUGGAUCACUUACAAUCUGAGCUAAACGAGAGACUGUGUGUAGCAAGUUCUAGGCUGUUGGCACAAUGUCUUUUGACCAACAAAUUUGACCAACUUACCCCUCAGGUCUGGGAAGACAUCAACUUAGAGUAUGAUUCAUUUAUACAGUGGCAGCUGAUAACGAACUUGAAAUCUGGAAACACGAUAUCCUUCAUCAAAUCCUCAUUGGAAAUAGGCUUUGUAAGGCUAUGGACAACAGCUAUCUUUUAUUUCCAAAUUUGUACAGAAGUAUUACUCACAGUGCCAGCUUCGAUUGCUACAGUAGAGAGACCGUUCAGCUCAUUGAAAAGAAAAAAGACAUAUCUAGGAAUAGUAUGUCUGUUCGUAAGGGGACACCGCUUAUACACUAAAUAGAUUCUAUGAUUACAAAGGAUCAUAACAUAUAACAAAACAAGAAUAAACACACACACACGCGCGCACAAACACACGAGGACAAAACAAACAAAUAAAGGAACUCAGUGGGGCAUCUCUUUUGAACGGUCAGUGGCAAAAACACGACAGGGAAGCUUAAACCAUUUUAUAGUGCGCACUAACCUCGAUCCAACCCCACCAGGUUAAAAAAGGGAUAAAUAUCAAACAGGGAAUACCGCGAUAAAAAAAACCGCAUCCUCCUCAAAUCCCCAACAGUAAAUACUUGCACACCAUCACACGACACUUACAGACUUUUGUUUUGAUAGUUAAAGUAACACGGUUGGCACCGCAUCGGGACGGUAUGUGGUAAAAACACCAUUUCAGAAUGGACUAAUGUUUAGGAAUAUCCGAGUCCUUAGAACGCGGUCUCAUUAAAACGAACCCCUACAAUAGUCUAUGUAUUGAUUUGUUAAUGAUUGACAUAUACAAGAAAUACUUGCCUUGGACAGAAUAAAACAAUAAGCCAAGGA
rnacentral:lncRNA from 1 species